rnacentral:rRNA from 1 species
UACGUAGGGUGCGAGCGUUGUCCGGAAUUACUGGGCGUAAAGAGCUCGUAGGUGGUUUGUCGCGUUGUCCGUGAAAACUCACAACUCAAUUGUGGGCGUGCGGGCGAUACGGGCAGACUGGAGUACUGCAGGGGAGACUGGAAUUCCUGGUGUAGCGGUGGAAUGCGCAGAUAUCAGGAGGAACACCAGCGGCGAAGGCGGCAUCCUGGACUGGUCCUGACACUCAGGAGCGAAAGCGUGGGGAGCGAGCCGG